AUUGAACGCUGGCGGCAGGCUUAACACAUGCAAGUCGAGCGGAGAUGAGGUGCUUGCACCUUAUCUUAGCGGCGGACGGGUGAGUAAUGCUUAGGAAUCUGCCUAUUAGUGGGGGACAACAUUCCGAAAGGAAUGCUAAUACCGCAUACGCCCUACGGGGGAAAGCAGGGGAUCUUCGGACCUUGCGCUAAUAGAUGAGCCUAAGUCGGAUUAGCUAGUUGGUGGGGUAAAGGCCUACCAAGGCGACGAUCUGGAGCGGGUCUGAGAGGAUGAUCCGCCACACUGGGACUGAGACACGGCCCAGAAUCCUACGGGAGGCAGCAGUGGGGAAUAUUGGGCAAUGGGCUGAAGCCUGAUCCAGCCAUGCCGCGUGUGUGAAGAAGGCCUUAUGGUUGUAAAGCACUUUAAGCGAGGAGGAGGCUACUUUAGUUAAUACCUAGAGAUAGUGGACGUUACUCGCAGAAUAAGCACCGGCUAACUCUGUGCCAGCCGCCGCAGUAACAC
rnacentral:rRNA from 1 species